AGAAGGAACAACAAGGGCGUAUGGUGGAUGCCUUGGCUUUGAAAGGCGAUGAAGGACGCGGCGUGGCGGCGAUAUGCUUCGGGGAGGUGCCAAGCAACCUUUGAUCCGGAGAUUUCCAAAUGAGGAAACUCAAUAGAAAGAAAUUUCUGUUAUCUCACAGCAAUGUGAGAGGUAAACCUCGGGAAGUGAAACAUCUCAGUACCGAGAGGAAAAGAUACCAAUAGGUAUUUCGUGAGUAGCGGCGAGCGAAAACGAAUAAGCCCAAACCGUUGAAUUUCUCAGACCACUUGCAGGAGUCCUAAAAAAACUUGCAUUCGAGUGGUACGAGAAAUUCGCGGGGUUAUAAGGCGGUUAGGCCUUUAGUGGCAAGAAGUUACAAAUUGUUAGGUAGCCGAGCGCGCUGGGAAGCGCGGCCCCAGAGGGUGAAAGCCCCGUAGGCGAAACCGAAACAACUUCUUAAUUGUCCUUGAGUAGCUCGAAACACGACAGGUUCGAGUGAAUGUGCCGGAACUAACCGGUAAGGCUACAUACUUUCAAAGACCGAUAGUGAACUAGUACCGUGAGGGAAUGGUGAAAAGCACCCCGGGAGGGGAGUGAAAUAGAUCUGAAACCAUAUGUCUACAAAGAGUGGGAGUGGUGACACCGCAAGGUGGAACCACGACCGCGUGCCUAUUGAAGAAUGAGCCUGCGAGUUUAUGUAUGCUGCGAAUGGCUAAGGGGUAAAACCUCGAAGCCGCAGGGAAACCGAGUGUGAAUAGCGCGAAUUCCCCGCCUUUGGUGGGGGGAAGUAGCAUGCAUAAGACCCGAAGCAAGGUGAGCUACCCAUGAGCAGGGUGAAGUUUGUCGAAAGACAGAUGGAGGCCCGAACCGUUGAGCCGUUCAAAACUCUCGG
rnacentral:ncRNA from 1 species